GAGAUUUGGAGGCCGUUGGUAGGGGCGGGUUGAGUUGCCGAUGUUGGUGGAGCAGGGAGGGGAUAUGUAUGUGAGUGUGGCCUAGCAAGGCCGAGAGGGGUAGAAGGGUGCAUGAGUCACGGAUGGUGGUGACGGGAGGUGGAAAUGUUUGUGUGUGUGCGUGGCCCAACGAGGUCGAGAGAUGGAGGAGUGAGUAUGAGUCGCCGAUGUUGGUGACGCGAGAGGAUGGUAUUUGUGUGUGUGUGUGGCCUCUUUAGGUCGAGAGGUGGAGGAGUGAGUAUGAGUCGCCGAUGUUGGUGACGCAAGACGAUGGUAUUUGUGUGUGUGUGUGGCCUCUUUAGGUCGAGAGGUGGAGGAGUGAGUAUGAGUCGCCGAUGUUGGUGACGCGAGAUGAUGGCAUUUGUGUGUGUGUGUGGCCUCUUUAGGUCGAGAGGUGGAGGAGUGAGUGUGAGUCGCCGAUGUUGGUGACGCGGAAUAAUGGUGUGUGGGUGUGUGCGUGGCCUAUUAGGUCGAGAGGUGGAGAUAUAGGUGUGAGUCGCCGAUAUUGGUGACGUGGAAUGAAGGUGGUUGGGUGUGUGUGUGUGUGGCCUCGUGAGGUCGGGAGAUGGGGGAAGAGUGUAUGAGUCGCCGAUGUUGGUGACGAGAGUUAGUGGAUGAUUGUUGGGUGGGGGGGGGGGGGUUGUUUGGCCGUGCUAUUGCCUUGGAAUGGGACCUUGAUAAUUAGUGUAGGGAGAGGGUUAUGAGUUGUUUGGGGUUGGGUAGGAUAAAUGCAUAUAGACAUUUCUGGAAAUUCUUGUCACUGCAUAUUACACUUACAACUUGAUUUUUAUCGUAUUGAGUUAUGUGAACUCACUUCUCAUCAUUCACAGGUGGAGUAAGGACGGAAUUGGGAUCCGAGCGGCUGGUAACGGAGCCCCGUCGAUAGUGCCAUAGGGCACAAGUUUUGUUUGUGAUUUAAAGUAGUUUGAGAGGAUGGUUUAGUCUGGAUAUUGAAUAUCUAGGAAUGUUUGAUAUUGUAUUACUAUGUGUUGUAGAGGUGGAGAUGUAUGUACAAUUGAUUUGGAACAUGGAAGGUGGAUAUCUCUUGUGCAUGGUUGGAAUAAUAUGAAUUUCGGUAUUGUGUUGUAUGGGUGCUUUAUCGUACACCGUUAAGAAAAAAAAAAACGGGGUGUUACAACUUAACUAGCUCAUAUAUACAUAUAUAUAUAUAUAUUUCCUUUUUAAAAGGAAUGAGUUAGAAAACUAAAAUUUGAAAAAAUAUAUAUAUAUAUGUUUGGUGGCUUUGUCAUACAUAAUACAAAUUGAACAUUUUUAAAAGACUGCAAGACGUAAGCAGCACAUUGUGCCCAAGCAUGGCAGAAAUAGAAUUUUGCAAGAAAUAGAAGUCUUCUUUACUAACUUUUUCAAUUGAUGUGCUAAAUUGUCCUUCUUUUUGUUUCCAAAUUCGUAUUCCAAUUUUCUUCAGCCAUUUUAUUAUUAUUAUAAAAAUGAAAAUAUUACAAACAUCAAUAACUUAGUUAACAU
rnacentral:lncRNA from 1 species